rnacentral:tRNA from 1 species
GCCCGGAUGGCGGAACUGGUAGACGCACGGGACUUAAAAUCCCGAGGCCUUGGCCGUGUGGGUUCGAGUCCCACUCCGGGCACCA